rnacentral:rRNA from 1 species
GACGAACGCUGGCGGCGUGCUUAACACAUGCAAGUCGAACGGAAAGGCCCUGCUUUUGUGGGGUGCUCGAGUGGCGAACGUGUGAGUAACACGUGAGUAACCUCCCCUUGACUUUGGGAUAACUUCAGGAAACUGGGGCUAAUACCGGAUAGGAGCUCCUGCUGCAUGGUGGGGGUUGGAAAGUUUCGGCGGUUGGGGAUGGACUCGCGGCUUAUCAGCUUGUUGGUGGGGUAGUGGCUUACCAAGGCUUUGACGGGUAGCCGGCCUGAGAGGGUGACCGGCCACAUUGGGACUGAGAUACGGCCCAGACUCCUACGGGAGGCAGCAGUGGGGAAUAUUGCACAAUGGGCGGAAGCCUGAUGCAGCAACGCCGCGUGCGGGAUGACGGCCUUCGGGUUGUAAACCGCUUUCGCCUGUGACGAAGCGUGAGUGACGGUAAUGGGUAAAGAAGCACCGGCUAACUACGUG